GAAUGUACUUCUUCCUAACGGAUUUUCGUUUACGGACUCUGAACACAGGUGCUUGUUGACCUUUGGCUACAAUAAUAGUUCUCCACUUUUAAGAAAUGGACUUGUAUGAUUACAAACCAAACACACUUCAAGUGGUUAUAGAACAGGGCCAUUGUAAUGAAUGAAUCGGUUAAACUGUUCCCUAGCUUGGUCAUUGUUAUGUGCUUUUGAAUCCUUAUGUCCUGUGAUUGAGCACUCUGCUUUUGCAGUCUGUACAGUUCUCAGUGCUUGACAAAUGUUGAAUAUUCUGUAGCUACAUUGGGUUCUUAGAGUAUGCAUUAUUAUCGAAUUUAAGACCUAUGAGAGAUUUUGUGCAGUGUUUAAUGAAUACUAAGGUUUUCUCUGCUUUGGAACUUACGAAAAAUCCAUUUUUCUUCAUGUACUCUAAAUAUCCCAUGCUUUUUAAAACAGGCUGUUCUUGGCUAUAUUUGUUUUUAUGACUUGUCCUCUAUUAUCGAGAAUGUUACAAAAUGAGGCCUUUGCUGGUAUGUUAACUUGAUUAUAAUUUGCAUAUAUCACAAUAAUAGAUGUGAUUCUUCCAUCAUCAAUACUAAAUGAGAGCACUCUUUUAAGCCUUGGAUUUUUUUUUUUUUUUUUUUUUUUGGUCAGCAUCUUGCACUCCUAGCUAUGGGCUAAGCAAGGGUGUUGAGAUUAGUAUGCAGCACUGGGUCCCCAGUAAGCUAUUGACUCAAUACUGUGCUCAUCUUUCGUGAUUAUAACAACCACAUACUUAGCAAGAGUUCCCAGCCUAUAAGUAGAUUUAUUCUAUCUUAAGACAGGCCUUGGCUAAUAUGAGAGAGGUUUCUGGCAUCUGGGAGAUGGGGGUUAUAGAAACUUGAUUAAAAGAAAAAGGAGAUGAUGUGGUCUGUCCUGUUCUAGGAUGAACAAGGUGUCUAGAAAAUUUUCCUUUAAGCCUGUGUUAACUCAUCGUGUUAUUUUUUUAAACUCUGGUCCCUCUUCUGGAACCACAUCUUAAAAGAUAAGCAUAUUUAGUAAUAAAAUUCCCAGCCUAGAGGGAAGUACCAAUAAUUGCUGUUUUCAGAAGAGAAGCAUAGUGUUUUAGAGUUCGCUAGAUCCAUCCCUCCCUGCUUUUUUUUUUAAACAGAUGGAGAAACUGAGUGCCAAAAGGUUGCAACAUCCUUGAAGUUAUAUAAAGAACUAAAAUAGCAUAUGGCUUAUCUAGGAGGUAAAGAUGGGAACGGCUUCUGCUUGAUUGGCGCCCUCUUGAAGAGAAAUACUUUUGCUCAGCUUGGUUAUUACAGAAUACUGAGUAGCGUUCCCUGUACUAUACAGAAUGAAAUGCAGAUAACUCUUUAGAAAACUUUCGUAGGAAAAAAGCGCCUCGUGUGAUCUGGAACAAAGACAUUUUCUAAUCAGAUUUAUCAAGCUGUGAAGAGGGAGUUUUAGCGAACGGAAGCAGCAGCAUUCUGUCACCAGGAAAUACUGCUUUAUCCAGAAUUGGUUUGGCCACAGCAACAAAGGCGAUGAAAAUGCUUUAUAUCUUUUAGCAUGAAAUGCGAAGUCUACAUCAACAAACCCCUCCCUAGAAGGCUGCGGAUCAUCUAGCUGCUGGAAUGUGUGGCAUAAGCCAGUGGGCUUUAUCAUUGGACAGAGUGCAGAGAAAGGACCCCAUGAAAGCUGAUCACCUUAGCAAAACAUGAUUUUGUUAUGAUUUCACCAAGAUGGUCACACACCAGCCCGGGAAACUCAAUGAACCAGAGACCAGGUGUAAUGCCAUCCUUCCUUCUCUGCCUCAACUCUCAAGGAUUGGUCACCUACAUGUUAUUAGUAAUUAUUAUUUGGUUUCUAUUCAUAUUUACUAUCAGAAGUCAUAGCACCUAUGGGCCUCAUCACACUGCCCUGCUACCUCACAAUUCCUACUCAUUUUGGCUUCCUGCCCACCAGCAGGAACCCGGUUUCUUUUUGUUCUCCUUUUACCACAGCCCUGUAAUUUUUGUGAAGGACUCUCAGUCUCACCAGAAUCCAUAUCUCUCACUCUGUCCCAAUACCCCACCCCAUUGUUUGCUCCCUGAAGUGAACUCUAGAAUUUAAGUAAACUGGAUUUUUUUUACCACUGUCCACCAUCUCUUACGAAACCGGAAGAAGAGCAGCUUUCUUAUGGAAUGACCAAGAACUUGUAAAGAUAAACCACCAGUUUGCAGGAGAAAAGGAAGAAAAGAAUGAUGGAAAUAGCUUCUGGAAAACUAUUUUUUACAUUAUGUUUUGUUUGUCUGUUCCUGGUAAAUAAAUUUAAAUCUCUAAGCAUUAAAAAAAAAAUAGACCAAUCUAAACCAUUAAAUUCUCAGUAAUAAAGGAACAUAACUUUUAAAGGAGCUGUUAUAAAUUCUUGGUUAUAUGAACUGGAGACAUUUAGUUAGUAAACAUGUAUUUUAAAUGAAUAUGACUUAACAGAUUUAAAGUAGAAAAUGAAUAUACGGAAUGAAAGGAUAAAUGUCUGCAUGUAACAGUCGAUUUUAGUGAUAUAAUGUAUUUUUGUCACCCCAUGCUGAAUUCAGUAAAAAUAAAGCCAAUGACUUGGAGCUUUUAAAAGAUUGUGCUUUUUUGUGUG